GCGUCCGGACUGGCCCAGAGAGGUGGGCAACUACCACUCAGGGCCGGAAAGCUCUCCAAACUCGGUCAUUUAGAGGAAGUAAAAGUCGUAACAAGGUCUCCGUUGGUGAACCAGCGGAGGGAUCAUUA
rnacentral:rRNA from 1 species